GGUUGAUAAUAGGAAUUGGAAUUGAGUUUUUCCAGUCACUGGUGGGUUGUUGGCACUCUUCUCAUCUGCAAUUGAGCCCUUGUGAAAGCAUUUGGUAUUUCCUCCUUGUCAAAGUUAUGGAAGCUCAAAAAAGGGGAUCAACAAAAGGAAAGCGCAAGGCUGAGAGUAAUGUGCAACAAUCAAGAGUUGGCCGAGAUGCAUUUUUUAAUUUCAUG